rnacentral:lncRNA from 1 species
AAAACCCCUCCAAAAAUCACUUUUUGCGUCCCUCCAAAUCGGAGGAUUUGCAGGGGAGGGGAAGGAAUAUGAUUUUUAUUAUUUAAAUUUAUUUUAGAUUUACUAAAAUAUCUUCAAUUCUAUUUUAGUAUUUUAAAAUUAUUUAUUUUCUUUUGUAUUACUGUUUUUUCUUUUAUUUGACGUUCCCUGUCGCUUCCGCCACUUUAUUAUAAUUAUUCUUUGUUUUAAAAUUAUUUUAGUCUAUUUUAAAUUAUAAUCACCUUUACUUUUUUAUUUAUUUAUAAUUUAUGAUUUUUAUGUUUAUUUAUGUUUUUUUUAUUUUGUUAUGUAUUUUAUUGUAACUUUUUUAUAUCAAAUUUUAAAUUUUUUGUUUUAUUUUU